CACUUUCUUUUCACUACAGUCUUUUUUGAAAUAUUCUUCUUUGGCUUGUUCUCUUUUUUUUGCUUCUUCUUCUUCUUUCAACUAGACUUUCUCUUGGAUGAAGAAGCCCGCUUCAUAGUAAGAACAGUAUUCUUUGAACUUUUCAAGGUUUCCUUAGCAGUGACCAACAUGUUGACAAGUUCGGAUAUGGUGCAGUCUAACUUGUUCAUAUAAAAAUUUAUAAUAAAUUGACUAUAUAAAUUCAUGAGAGAUUGCAGGAUCAAAUCCACUUACAAUUUCUUUUGUAUAGUC
rnacentral:lncRNA from 1 species